UUGGCGCAGUUUGCAGUAUCACCAUUUUGUAAAUUGGGCAAAGCGCACUUAAGUUCCAAUCGUUGGGCAUGCAUUCAUCUGAUCAUAUGUUGCGAAUUAGCUGUAACAUACAUUUUAAUAGCUCUUUUUCACCCGCUUUAAAAAGCUCAGCCGGUAAACCAUUGGUGCGUGCAGCUUUGUUCUUUUUGAGUCGCAUUAUAACUAUUUUAACUUAAUUAUGAUCGAGACGCGGGACGAUUAUUUCAUCUUCAACGAUUGUAAAUUCAGGAUAAUCUUCGCUUUCAGUCACAUUACUAUUACCGUCAUUUAGUAGGUUCGAGAAAUGAUCCCUCCAUUGCGCGCAUAUAUCGGCUUCUUCGAAUGAAUUUUUCAGAUGCUGACAGAGUCGAGUAGCUGUGCUUGUUUACGCACCUUUUUCAUUGCACAUAAACGUGUGCAGAUCUUGGCUGCAACAAGAUAAUGAUCCGGGUCAGCCUUCUUCCAUUAUCAGAAGUUUUGGUGUGAAAGCUGAACUUUCCUUCUUUACGUACUUUUGCGUUGAAGUCUCCUACAACGAUUUUAAUGUGAUGAUGGGGACACCGUUCAUAUGCUUGUUCAAGCUGUUCAUAGAAAGUUUCCUUGAUGUCAUCAUCUUACGGAUUUUGGCAAGCCUUUCGUUUAUUGGUGUAAAUGUUGAGACCAAAUUUUUCAACCUUCGACUUACCGCAAAUCCGACUCCAAAUUCGUACUUUGUUUCAUGGCAGCUGUAGUAGAUGUCACAAUGUUCUCGUUUAAAGCAUCCUUGUCCCGUCCAUCCCAUUUUAAUGUCAGCCUUAUAUUUCUUGAGGACAUUAACCAGCUGUAUAGAUGCACCUUCUCUAUUUGUAUUGCUUGGGGUCAAUUUUCGGGUCCGGAUAGUCACAUAAAUAUUGAAAACUUUUGACGAAACUGUGCUGAAGAGUGCUGGGCUGACUGGAAGCUGUCAGUGAAAAACAAGCAGCUGAAAUGAAGUGCUUUUUGGACCAAAAAGGCAAUCCACCGAGUACUGAAGGGCCGAAAACUCUUGACGGAAUAGAUAAAUAGGUGAUAGCAUUGAGUUCAGAGCAUCAAAAUCAAAAUAGCCCUGAAACAGGCAUUCCGAUUUCUUUGAGGUAGGAUUUCUUGAGAGUUAAGAAAUUGUAGAUAACCACUUUGCUACUCCAACGUCCACACAGCAAGUAGAAUUAACGCCUUCUUUACUACCGGAACCCAAAAAGGCAAGGAAUGAGAUCUAUUUGUCAGAGCUCGAAAGAGUUAAGCGCCUCAUUACUGAGCAAAAUGAAAAGCAGAACCAGAUAUUUCAAGAGAUGCUUACAGUAUUGAAACACAUCAACAAUAAGUGGGAUGUGUUAAUU